rnacentral:rRNA from 1 species
UACCAGCACCCCGAGUGGUCGGGACGAUUAUUGGGCCUAAAGCAUCCGUAGCCGGUUUUACAAGUCCUCCGUUAAAUCCAACUGCUUAACAGAUGGGCCGCGGAGGAUACUACAAGGCUAGGAGGCGGAAGAGGCAAGCGGUACUCAGUGGGUAGGGGUAAAAUCCUCUGAUCCAUUGAAGACCACCAGUGGCGAAGGCGGCUUGCCAAUACGCGCUCGACGGUGAGGGAUGAAAGCUGGGGGAGCAAACCGG